AUUGAACGCUGGCGGCAUGCCUUACACAUGCAAGUCGAACGGCAGCACGGGGGCAACCCUGGUGGCGAGUGGCGAACGGGUGAGUAACAUAUCGGAACAUACCCUAGAGUGGGGGAUAACGUAGCGAAAGUUACGCUAAUACCGCAUACGAUCUAAGGAUGAAAGUGGGGGAUCUUCGGACCUCAUGCUCAUGGAGUGGCCGAUAUCUGAUUAGCUAGUUGGGUGAGGUAAAGGCUCACCAAGGCGACGAUCAGUAGCUGGUUUGAGAGAACGACCAGCCACACUGGACUGAGACACGGUCCAGACUCCUACGGAGGCAGCAGUGGGGAAUUUUUGGACAAUGGGGGCAACCCUGAUCCAGCAAUG
rnacentral:rRNA from 1 species